rnacentral:rRNA from 1 species
GUAAUGCCGGAUGCUCCAGUUGUUCGCAUGGUCUUUUGGGAAAGCUUUCGCGGUAUGGGAUGGGGUCGCGUCCUAUCAGCUUGACGGCGGGGUAACGGCCCACCGUGGCUUCGACGGGUAGCCGGCCUGAGAGGGCGACCGGCCACAUUGGGACUGAGAUACGGCCCAGACUCCUACGGGAGGCAGCAGUGGGGAAUAUUGCACAAUGGGCGCAAGCCUGAUGCAGCGACGCCGCGUGAGGGAUGGAGGCCUUCGGGUUGUAAACCUCUUUUAUCGGGGAGCAAGCGAGAGUGAGUUUACCCGUUGAAUAAGCACCGGCUAACUACGUGCCAGCAGCCGCGGUAAUACGUAGGGUGCAAGCGUUAUCCGGAAUUAUUGGGCGUAAAGGGCUCGUAGGCGGUUCGUCGCGUCCGGUGUGAAAGUCCAUCGCUUAACGGUGGAUCCGCGCCGGGUACGGGCGGGCUUGAGUGCGGUAGGGGAGACUGGAAUUCCCGGUGUAACGGUGGAAUGUGUAGAUAUCGG